GACGAACGCUGGCGGCGUGCCUAAUACAUGCAAGUCGAACGCAGUGGGGACGGUUGAGUAACACGUGGGUAACCUCCCAUCAAAGGGGAUAACACUUGGAAAAAAGUGCUAACCCCAUACUGAUGGAUGGAGCCGCGUGGCAUUAGCUAGUUGGUGAGGUAACGGCUCACCAAGGCCACGAUGCAUAGCCGACCUGAGAGGGUGAUCGGCCACACUGGGACUGAGACACGGUCCAGACUCCUACGGGAGGCAGCAGUAGGGAAUAUUGGGCAAUGGGCGAAAGUCUGAUCGAGCAACGCCGCGUGAGUGAAGAAGGUCUUCGGAUCGUAAAACUCUUUUGUUAGAGAAGCGUUACCUAAACAGAAAGCACCGGCUAACUACGUGCCAGCCGCCGCGGUAAUAC
rnacentral:rRNA from 1 species